CACUGGUGGUUUUCUUUUAUUUAUAUAUAUUUUAAGGCAACAUAUUAUAAAAGAUGGAAGGAGAAAAACAAACCUGUAAUAUGAGGUGAGUCAACUGUCAACGUAUAUGCACAGCCCUUGACACAGUAUCUCAGCAAAGAAAAACUUCAGUGGCCAAAACGUAAGUUUGUGUACUAAAGAGAAACUGCUCAAGCCUUUUUCUCCUAAUGCAAAAAGCAAUGUUCCCAAGUGGACAUCUCUCCUCUCUAGUGCAAUACCUUGUAGAUGUGACUAAACCUAAAAGUAAUUUCUAAGAAAAGAUUCUUGCAUGUAACACAAUGUAUGUACUGCCUUCCUAACCCUCCUUUUGCUCAUUGUCAAAUGACGAUGUGAAGAAUUAUAUAAGAAAGCAAAACAACAAAGAAAAAAAUUAACUUAAUUUACACAACCAAUAAAAAAAAGUUUAAAGCAAUGACAGGAAAAUAACAUAAAGGCUAGAUAUGUUAAAUGCCAGUUCAACAAUAUUAAGCUUUGGUAGAACAGGUAAAGAGCAUAGCACCAAUAAAUUCCAAUGUCAAUACAUGCUUCAGUAUGUAUGAGCUGUGAUGAAAAUGUAAAUUUUGGCAAGAAAAGUAGUGUACGUUCCCUGACGCCACAGUUUCAUUUCAACAUCUAACAAAAAGUCUUUGGGCUCUUUGACCUGUCGCUGAAGAUAGACAAUGCCCGUGUAUGAGUUCAGCCUCCGAGUGCUGAAGUAGUUUUCUUCAUUUCCUUUGUUGAUCGUAAGGAUUAUGUUGUCUCCAGCAUAGGCAGGCGAUGGUCCAAUACGGAAAAUGUGUGCUGGGACCAUGAUGUUGGUUUGGAAGUUCAGCUGGUAAUAGGUGAUGCGCACUGGAGUAUUUUGGCAGUCCAGAUAAUUAAAGCAGCUGAUUCGUUCACACCUCAUGUCAGACACCUUUCUGUAGUUGGAGGGGCACUCAAAGGACAGGCAGCGGAAACUGCCCUGGAUGUUAUAGCAGGACUCCGCAGCUGAACAGUUGUGGGUUCCUAUUGCGCAUUCAUCAAUGUCUCGACAGGUCCUUCCAUUUGCUGCCAUGGUGUAUCCCUGCUCAGGACAAGCGCAUUGGUAACUGCCAGGAACAUUCACACAGCGGAAAGUGCAAAGAAUGCCCGCGCUUUGCGUGCACUCAUCGAUAUCUUUACAAGAAUGGCCAUCUUCUGCCAGCUGGAAACCUUGCCUGCAGUAACACUGAUAGGAACCGUAAACAUUGGCACACUCCUGGCUGCAGGGACUUGUAUCACAUUCAUUCACAUCUUCGCAAUGCUUUCCAUCAUAAGACAAGUGGAAACCAGAAGAACAAGUGCAAUGGUAGGACCCGGGGGUGUUCUCACACGUGUGCUGACACAGGCGUCCAGGGUAAUUCCAGCACUCAUUUAUAUCAAUGCAGCUCCUGCUGAAUGCAUCAUACUGAUAGCCCAUCUUGCAGUCACAGCGAUAAGCCCCAGGAAGAUUAUGACAAAUCUGUCCUUCGCCACAGCGGUGUACACCAGUCUGACAUUCAUCCACAUCAACACAUCGAGUUCCAUCCUCAUUGGAGUGGUAGCCUCUGCUGCAUGUCAACAUGUUCCUCUGGCAGGUGUAAGACCCGACAGUAUUGAUGCAGUUGAAUCCUGGCUUACAUGGCUCAGGAAGAGAUGUGCAUUCAUUAAUAUCAACACAGUUUCCCUCAGGAUCUUGUAAAAAUCCAUCCAUGCAACGCUGCUUUGACUCACAGUAGAAUGACCCUUCUGUAUUCUGACAAACGAAGUUUACUUUGCAGCUGUGGGUUCCUCUCUCGCACUCAUCAAUAUCAACACAUUCUCCAUCCUUAAGUUCAUAACCUGGCUGACAGCUCAAUUCCUGGAGGCAUUUAAAUGAUCCCAUCGUGUUGACGCAGUGCUCUCUCCGCUGGCAGGUGUGCGCAUCCGUUACGCAUUCGUUGAUGUCUUCACAAGAAAUCCCAUCAGCCAUGAUAGUAUAUCCGGACAAACACGAGCAUACAACAUUUCCUUCCAUAACGCUGCAGAUGUGCUUGCAGGGGCCGUUAUCUUUACACUUAUCCUGCUCUUCUUGUAAGGACACAAUGAGAAGAGGCUGAGGAGAGGCUGCUGGAGGGAUAGUGGCUUCUACUUCCAGCCUUGUCACCUGUCCUCGGUCAGGAUCUGGAGAGCAGCUGGUCCCAUCUUCUUGCAAAGUAAAUUCUGGGAAACAUGAACACUUGUAGGACCCCACAGUGUUUAUACACAAAUGCUGACAGAGUUCCCCACCAUACAGAAGACAUUCAUCCAGGUCAUCUCCAGGCAGGUUAUUUGACAGUUCGGCUUCAUUACUGAUGGACAAAGCUUCAUUGUGAUCUUCUGUCUCUGAAAUCUUCUCAGGUGUUGCAGUUGGCGAAGGUUCAGGAUGCUUUUUAAUUUCUGGAUGGAUGAAGUGAUCUCCGCCUUCACAGCAGGACAGCAUCACGUGGCUGCAGGGGUAGCCCAGAUUUAUGUUGGACUCACAGGUUUUCCCCUCACUCCUUAAUCGCAGGCCCAGAUUGCAGCAAUCACAGCAUUGCUUAUAUGAGGAUCCUCCACAGUUAUCGCUUUCCUCUGGUCCACAUGCAUCUCCCUCCUUUGCAGCAAUCAUGCCAGCCAGGCAGCUGUUCUCCUUGACGGUGGAGAUGCAACACUGCUUCUGAGCAAUUCUGCAAAUAUCACCAUCCACUCCACUGAUAGGAGUUUCUGUGCACUCCCCGUUGUCUAUAGCCCACUGCUGUCCAGCUCCACAGCAGCUCUCAAUCAGUUCCUUUGUAGAACCUUCUGGUAAUCUGGGGUUAGCGUGAAUAGAGUUGGGGUCCCCAUCUUCCUCAGGAUGGUAACGAUACAGUGUCUGUGACUGCUUUUGGGAUGACUGACUACGGUCUUCCUUUAGAGCAACAGGGGGAGAGGUUGUUGCACUGAACUUUACCUUGGGAAAGGCAUUUCCCUCAUGUGUUUCCUGGGAAGAUUUUGCUGAGCUUGGCUCUGUUAAAUUCACCUCUUUUAAGUCUAGAUGAAUACUGUUCCCUGGGUCUUCUUUUCUGGUGUGCUUUUUCAUUUUAGAAUGGGGUGUUCUUUCUUGCUCACUCUUUUCCUUGUCCCCCUGCUUCCCCUUUGGUCUCCUGUCCAGUUUCCCCAGCUGUUUGGGUGUCUCAGUGGUGGCUGUGGUGUGCUCCAGAGGAGCACUGGUUGUUACUGGGGCUUCCUUAUGUGUUGUUUGCUGGGGGGGUGGUGCAGUGGUGCUGGGCACCCUCUUCCACUCAGUUCUUUCAGUGGCACUGCGAAAUUCAGAGAGAAGCUUCGGUGCUGGUGUGGUGAGCGGAGUGGUUGUUUCCUCAGCAUACAUACCAGCCACAGCUGAACUUGAAGGAGCAAUGCUGACUGGUAGGUAGUCGUAAUCCUCACUUUGCUCUUGGCUGAUGCUCUCCUGCUCGAGAUGGGAAGAAUAGCUCCUGUAUUUUUUUGGAGAUUCCACCUGGGCGUUGUCUCCUUCUGGUGCCUCCUGGUCGUAGCUGUACGGAUCAUCGUAGUGCCUCUCUGGUUCAUUGUCUUCAGCAUCCAUGGGACUCACGGUGUUUAAGGCAAACGUGUUACAGUUGGGAAGCUGGUAGCACAUCAGCUCGCCACCAGCAUUUGGGCAAUGGCAGACCUUGCACGGGGGCAUGUGGAAGGUGUGUCCUGCUACGUAUUUCUGGCCCUCGUGGAGGCAGCCUAUUCUUCCACAUUGAGGGCACCCGUCCGCUGGCACCACUGCAUCAAUGCAGUUUGGGGGCAACUCUGGGCACAGCAUGAACUGGCAGCUGAUCUUACCCCCUCCCUUGGGGCACGAACACUCAGUGCUUCCGAAGUCCACAAAGUAAGACUGCCCUUCGGGUACUUUGCCAUUGACGAAGCCCACGUUGACGCAGUCAUAGUACUGGUAGCCUUCACAUGUGCAGCCAUGCUGCAGACAUGUGGCGCAGCACUCACCAGGCUCCAGCACGUCCUCGAUGCAGUUGUCCAAGGGCUGGCACUCCACGCCUGUGCAGUCCCUCUGUGCGUGGGAAACGCCGCUCCACAGCAGCAUGAAAAAGGCAGCAUUCAGACAGCUCCGCUGCCAACUCUGGUGCCUAUCCAUAGUCUUCCCAAAAACACAGCUCCAGUCCAAAGGUGCGCUUUUAAGGGUUGCUGGUUUCUUUUCUAGAAGACUGUAUAUUCAGCUCCAAUUCUGCAGCGUUUUCCUGAGUUACCUUCUCUCAUAGACCCUGUGGAUGUGCAGCACUGUAGAUGCAGAGAGUUUUCCUAUCACCUUUUGUUCCCAGCCAUGUCAGCUGUGCUCUGCUCCAAGUGCUGCUCACACUCCCAAAUCCCCUUUUCCAGCUCUAUCUUAGGAACUGCCCAGAUUUUGUAGUGUAAUCUGAGCAGGGAAGUACCAUGUGCCUAUGAUAUGGUCAAUUCACGUUUUACCCCCUGCUAUGCUAAGGAAGCUGCUUCGCAUUACAAAGCCGUGUGACCGCCUGACCCAGGUAUGGCUGGAGCACGCCAGGGCUGCCUCC
rnacentral:lncRNA from 1 species